rnacentral:lncRNA from 1 species
CACUGGGGAAGAGAGGGGAAGGCCUCUGUUGCUAUGAUGACUUGGCUAACAGGACAGCACGGAGCUCCUGAGUCAGUCCACACUGAGAUGACCCACAUUCGGGCCUUCGGUCAGGUUCCAGGUUGUCAAUCUUGGCAGCAACUGCCUUUGUUCAGUGAACCAUCUCGUAUGAGCAUUCUCUAAUGCUUGACUAUUGACUGAACGUGAUCAGCUGCCUCAAGCUCCCGUGGCCAUGACUUCCCCACUAGGAUGGGCUGCUCAAGCACAACCCUGGAAGAGAGAGCUCAGUGAGACUUCGCUCAGCAGCUGUUUCCCCUUACGUGGAAACACCACCUCCCGGCUGAGUAGAAGAGUAUAAAACUGGGGGAGUGAAGGAAACUCAUAAGGCUCAAGGAGUAAACAAAAGGCAAGGCUUCGGAAGCUUUCCUAGCUCAAGUAUUCCCAAGAUCCUUCCCCCACCCUGGAGGUGGGGUGAGGCUGGGAGGGGUGCAGG